CUUCCCCCCGUGUUCUGGAUUUCUCUAUUUUCUUGCUGCAUUAAGAGGAAACCCGGCGGCCCUCGCAGAUAAGGCCUGCGCCUCGCGACAGACAGCAGGGUAACGCAGGAGGCACCGGGAGUGAGCAGUGGACGCACUGUGGAAAGGACAUUUUGGAAACAUAUUGAAUUAGUUUCUCUUGCUGCUGUAAGAAUUGUCCCAAUC
rnacentral:lncRNA from 1 species